rnacentral:rRNA from 1 species
GCCUAACACAUGCAAGUCGAGCGAGAACCAGGGCUUCGGCCCUGGGGACAGCGGCGAACGGGUGAGUAACACGUGGAUAACCUGCCCUCGGCACCGGAAUAGCCCGAGGAAACUCGGAUUAAUGCCGGAUAGCCCCACAUCCCUGCGGGGAACGUGGGAAAAGGUAGCUUCGGCCUCUGGCCGGGGAUGGGUCCGCGGUGGAUUAGCUUGUUGGCGGGGUAACGGCCCACCAAGGCGACGAUCCAUAGCUGGUCUGAGAGGAUGAUCAGCCACACUGGGACUGAGACACGGCCCAGACUCCUACGGGAGGCAGCAGUGGGGAAUCUUGCGCAAUGGGCGAAAGCCUGACGCAGCGACGCCGCGUGCGGGAAGAAGGCCUUCGGGUUGUAAACCGCUUUCAGGAGGGACGAAGCCACUCGGGUGAAUAGCCCAGAGGGUGACGGUACCUCCAGAAGAAGCCCCGGCUAACUACGUGCCAGCAGCCGCGGUAAU